rnacentral:rRNA from 1 species
UGGGGAAUUUUGGACAAUGGGCGCAAGCCUGAUCCAGCCAUGCCGCGUGCAGGAUGAAGGCCUUCGGGUUGUAAACUGCUUUUGUACGGAACGAAAAGACUCCUUCUAAUAAAGGGGGUCCAUGACGGUACCGUAGGAAUAAGCACCGGCUAACUACGUGCCAGCAGCCGCGGUAAUACGUAGGGUGCGAGCGUUAAUCGGAAUUACUGGGCGUAAAGCGUGCGCAGGCGGUUAUCUAAGACAGGUGUGAAAUCCCCGGGCUCAACCUGGGAACUGCAUUUGUGACUGUAUAGCUAGAGUACGGCAGAGGGGGAUGGAAUUCCGCGUGUAGUAGUGAAAUGCGUAGAUAUGCGGAGGAACACCGAUGGCGAAGGCAAUCCCCUGGACCUGUACUGACGCUCAUGCACGAAAGCGUGGGGAGCGAACA